rnacentral:tRNA from 1 species
AGCAGCGUGGCUUAGUGGAAAGAGCCCCGGGCUUGGGAGACCGAGGUCGUGGGUUCUAAUCCCACCUCCGCCG